GUUUCAACCAAUGUGUUUUAUUACAUAUUUGCAUGUAUAGCAUUUUUAUUACAGAGUUAUCACAGAUUGAUAUAAUACACAUAUAAAUGAAUUAUUAACCAUUUAUAAAUUACUCACAAACCAUCUUAUCAUUUAUUUUGAUUCCAGCAACUAUAGUAUAUCACACACUCAUAUAUAAUCACAUUUGGGAAGAAGGUUCUAUCAAGUCAAGUGAGGUUUGUCAUGUUAUCCAUAACCUACUGUAGCAGGUGUAAAAGAAACACCUGAAACUAGAUCCCCUUCAAACUACCUGUUGGGGGAGGUUCUCUUCUGCACUGUUCGACCAAUCCAGUAAAUGUGGAGGAGGAGUUAAGAUUGAGUGUUGCUUUGUUAACGUCCAAAAGCAGAAGUUGUGUCACAGGCUCUCUUUCCAUUUCCCCUGACAACCAGAACAUCCACAGGUUCUCUUUCCAUUUCCCCUGACAACCAAAACACCCACAGGCUCUCUUUCCAUUUUCCCUGACAACAGGAACAUCCACAGGCUCUCUUUCCAUUUUCCCUGACAACAGGAACAUCCACAGGCUCUCUUUCCAUUUUCCCUGAGAACAGGAACAUCCACAGGCUCUCUUUCCAUUUCCCCUGACAACAGGAACACCCACAGGCUCUCUUUCCAUUUCCCCUGACAACCAAAACACCCACAGGCUCUCUUUCCAUUUCCCCUGACAACCAAAACACCCACAGGCUCUCUUCCCAUUUCCCCUGACAACAAGAACAUCCACAGUCUCUCAUUCCAUUUCCCUUGUAAACCAGAACAUCCGGUUGUUGGGGACUCAGCAGAGGCAGUGGCGACCCGUCAUCAGGGCAGGUUGAGCAGAGCCCACAUUUUUUGGCAAAAAAAAUCAAAUAUAUAUAUAUACACACUACCGGUCAAAAGUUUUAGAACACCUACUCAUUCAAUUUUCCACCAUAAUUUGCAAAUAAAUUCAUUAAAAAUCCUACAAUGUGAUUUUCUGGAUUUUUUUUUCUCAUUUUGUCUAUCAUAGUUGAAGUGUACCUAUGAUGAAAAUUACAGGCCUCUCUCAUCUUUUUAAGUGGGAGAACUUGCACAAUUGGUGGCUGACUAAAUACUUUUUUGCCCCACUGUAUAUAGCCCUUCUUACAUCAGCUGAUAUCUCAAAGUGCUGUACAGAAACCCAGCCUAAAAUCCCAAACAGCGAGCAAUGCAGGUGUAGAAGCAUGGUGGCUAGGAAAAACUCCCUAGAAAGGCCAAAACCUAGGAAGAAACCUACAGAGGAACCAGGCUAUGAGAGGUGGCCAGUCCUCUCCUGGCUGUGCCGGGUGGAGAUUAUAACAGAACAUGGCCAAGAUGUUCAAAUGUUCAUAAAUGACCAGCAGGGUCAAAUAACAAUAAUAACAGUAGUUGUCGAGGGUGCAGCAAGUCAGCACCUCAGGAGAAAAUGUGAGUUGGCUUUUCAUGGCUGAUCAUUGAGAGUAUCUCUACCGCUCCUGCUGUCUCUAGAGAGUUGAAAACAGCAGGUCUGGGACAGGUAGCAUGUCCGGUGAACAGGUCAGGGUUCCAUAGCUGCAGGCAGAGCAGUUGAAACUGGAGCAGCAGCACGGCCAGGUGGACUGGGGACAGCAAGGAGUCAUCAUGCCAGGUAGUCCUGAAGCAUGGUCCUAGGGCUCAGGUCCUCCGAGAGAAAGAAAGAAAGAGAGAAAGAGAGAAUUAGAGAGAGCAAACUUAAAUUCACACAGGACACCGGAUAAGACAGGAGAAGUACUCCAGAUAUAACAAACUGAACCUAGCCACCCGACACAUAAACUAAUGCAGCAUAAAUACUGGAUGCUGAGACAGGAGGGGUCAGGAGACACUGUGGCCCCAUUCGAUGAUACUCCCGGACAGGGCCAAACAGACAGCACAUAACCCCACACACUUUGCCAAAGCACAGCCCCCACACCACUAGAGGGAUAUCUUCAACCACCAACUUACCAUCCUGAGACAAGGCCGAGUAUAGCCCACCAAGAUCCCCGCCACAGCACAGCCCAAGGGGGAGCACCAACCCAGACAGGAAGAUCACAUCAGUGACUCAACCCACUCAAGUGACGCACCCCUCCUAGGGACGGCAUGGAAGAGCACCAGUAAGACAGUGACUCAGGCCCUGUAAUAGGGUUAGAGGCAGUGAAUCCCAGUGGAGAGAGGGGAAAACAGACAUCACAUGCUAGAGAACAGACAUCACAUGCUAGAGAACAGACAUCACAUGCUAGAGAACAGACAUCACAUGCUAUAGAACAGACAUCACAUGCUAGAGAACAGACAUCACAUGCUAGAGAACAGACAUCACAUGCUAUAGAACAGACAUCACAUGCUAGAGAACAGACAUCACAUGCUAUAGAACAGACAUCACA
ensembl:lncRNA